UGUUUCGGCAAGGGGGUCAUCCCGACUUACCAACCCGAUGCAAACUGCGAAUACCGGAGAAUGUUAUCACGGGAGACACACGGCGGGUGCUAACGUCCGUCGUGAAGAGGGAAACAACCCAGACCGCCAGCUAAGGUCCCAAAGUCAUGGUUAAGUGGGAAACGAUGUGGGAAGGCCCAGACAGCCAGGAUGUUGGCUUAGAAGCAGCCAUCAUUUAAAGAAAGCGUAAUAGCUCACUGGUCGAGUCGGCCUGCGCGGAAGAUGUAACGGGGCUAAACCAUGCACCGAAGCUGCGGCAGCGACGCUUAUGCGUUGUUGGGUAGGGGAGCGUUCUGUAAGCCUGUGAAGGUGUGCUGUGAGGCAUGCUGGAGGUAUCAGAAGUGCGAAUGCUGACAUAAGUAACGAUAAAGCGGGUGAAAAGCCCGCUCGCCGGAAGACCAAGGGUUCCUGUCCAACGUUAAUCGGGGCAGGGUGAGUCGACCCCUAAGGCGAGGCCGAAAGGCGUAGUCGAUGGGAAACAGGUUAAUAUUCCUGUACUUGGUGUUACUGCGAAGGGGGGACGGAGAAGGCUAUGUUGGCCGGGCGACGGUUGUCCCGGUUUAAGCGUGUAGGCUGGUUUUCCAGGCAAAUCCGGAAAAUCAAGGCUGAGGCGUGAUGACGAGGCACUACGGUGCUGAAGCAACAAAUGCCCUGCUUCCAGGAAAAGCCUCUAAGCAUCAGGUAACAUCAAAUCGUACCCCAAACCGACACAGGUGGUCAGGUAGAGAAUACCAAGGCGCUUGAGAGAACUCGGGUGAAGGAACUAGGCAAAAUGGUGCCGUAACU
rnacentral:rRNA from 1 species